CUCUAUGUGAGGUGCAGUGGGGCGCACUGUUCAAUUCCGCGUGCCCAAUAUCAGAAACAGCAAGGUUCCCCAUAAAGAAUGCUGCACUAUUGGCCAAAUGGUUGGAAAGCAUGAAAGCUAGCUCAUAUGCAGUCACAAGCAUCAUGUUCAUUUUCUCACUCCACUUCGAGAAGUCAUGCUUCUACAGUGGUCUUGAGCAGUGCGUCUGAAAGAACGCGCUGUGCCAACUCUCUUCAACUUUCAGGAAGAGACUGGACAGGGUGGUACUUCUAGAGUGUCCAUUGGAGGCACUGCGUACUGCGCAGUCCCAGCCACCCUGUGUUGAUGUUCCUGCACUGGCACGGCUGCUUCCAGAAACUGAAAAUCCACCGUUGGACAGACCAAGCUGCUCUCGGGAAUCUGCAACGGGCCAGGACAGUUUAUCGAGCACUGCUGCAGAGACAGUGGAAGUAGGGCAGGACACCACCCUCUCAUUCGAGCUCUCUGAGGUCGAAUCAAUACCCGACUUGGACAGACCGAGCAGCUCGUAUCAACCAAUCGUGGAAGAUGAAAGCAGCAGAGAUGCUGAGUGGCG